UCCCCACAACCGGAACGGGUCCUCCUCGAGGAGCUGCGCAUCCUCUGCCUGCUCCAACGCUGUACACAUCCUCUGCUUGGUUGACUCCCACCGCCUACGAUCGUCGCUGCCGUCUGAUCAGGGUUUGUAUUGUUUCCAGUGUAUGUUGGUCAUGCAUCGGAUGUCACUCGGUUUCUAGGAAUUUCAAGAUGGCAUCAAAGAAACCAACAAACAAGGAGAGAAAACUUAAACAAGAGAGAUGUAUGAGGAUGCCGGUGUCUCGUCAAACAUGUAUUGUGUGAGGACACCCUUCGUCCGACCUA